rnacentral:lncRNA from 1 species
UUGUGAGUGACUUCAGCUGUCUCUUCAAGUGACAUCUAGCUACUUGAGAAAGGAGUGAUGACGAAAGUUCUUUGGACAGAAAACUUUCGCUGACAAGAAGGUGACAGGUCCUUGCACAGCUGGUCUCUGAUAUGCCUCAGAACGGACCCACAGAGUGACUAAUUUGAGCUUUGCAGUAGCUGGGAGGAAGUACAGGGCCCAUGCAUGCUGAGAGCUUGAAGAGGUCUGUAAGACAGGCUGGCAGUGGACACGGGCUGGAGGAACCCAUUGUUGGUGGGCAAAGGCCAGGAAACUUCGUUUGUUUAGAACAUGAGAACAUUGAACAUGUUCAUGGAUCUUAUUUGGUCAUCCAGGCUGGACUGCAGUGGUGUGAUCAUAGCUCACUGCAGCCUCAAACUGCUGGACUCCAGUGAUCUUCCAGCCUCAGCCUCCCCCGGUAGCAAGGACUACAGGUCUCACUCUCUGUCGCCCAGCCUGGAGUGCAGUGGCAUCAUCUGAGCUCACUACAACCUCCGCCUCCCGGGUUCAAGCGAUUCUCCUGCCUCAGCCUCCUGAGUAGCUGGGACUACAGGCACGCGCCACCACGCCCAGCUAAUUUUCGUAUUUUUAAUAGACAUGGGGUUUCACCAUGUUGGCCAGGCUGCUCUUGAACUGCUAACCUCAAGUGAUCCACCAGCGUUGGCCUCUCAAAGUACUAGGAUUACAGUGCUAGGAGCCACCAUGCCCGGCCGCCUCUCUUUUCUUUUACACAUGAAGAAAAAGUGGUCAGAGAAGUUAACUUGGUCAGUGCCAAAAGCACUGGAAGUGAGUAGGACCAAGCUUUUCAUCUAGAUUUGUUUGUUAGACUCUAAAUCCAAAUUCACAACAAGAUCAGAAUAUGAGAAACCUAAGGAACAAAAUUCUAGGAAUCAUUUCUAGAAACUGUGGCUAUUGAAAAAGCACAGACCUAGGGAAUCAAAUUAUUUUCCCUGCCACCAGCACAUGGGUAGGCCUGUGACAAAUUCCAUGCUCUGGACCCCAGAUUCCUCAGUGAGAAUAGAAGGGGCUAGAGACAUCAGGGAAUUGGAUUUGGUGACUUUAAUACCCACUCAGCUCCAAAGCAUUCUUGAAUGAUGCACGAUUUAUGAAUAUAUAUAUUGAAAUUUACUGAUGGGUGAACAGCUCUCAACAUGAGAUUUUUGUUGUAUGCCUUAAAAAAGAUUAUACAUAAAUAUGCGUGUGUGUGUGUAUGUAUGUUUCGAUGUAUAUGAACCCAUGAUCUGAAAAAUGGCCACUGUGGCUUGUGGAAACCUAUUAAUCUCUGCUGUUCCACCCAACAUCCUCAGAGAAAAAAAUAAACAACUUUUUGAAAGUGCUGCCAUGGGGUCAGACCAAAUACUGUGGCCACUUCCAAGGGGUUUGCCUUGAUUUGCCUGGAUUCCUGUUCAUGUGACAUCUGCCUUCUAAUUCAAGGAUAUGAUCAAUUCAAUGUGUGAGUUAUCAAUCAAGGACUGGCAACAGUGAUGCUGAACAAGCCUGGUGGAAGGAAAGAGAAGGCAGGCCAGAGCCCAGACAGACGCAUUCACAAACCUUACAAAGAGGACAGGCUAAUUAGGGGCUGUAGUUCUCCCUCUCUUUAUAGUUGGUAUAAGAGGAGUGGUAAUCGUAGUGUCCAAAAAUAUAUGGGCUACAUAGUUGCUUAGUAAGCUGUGGGUAUGUGGUUUCUUCUGCAAGGUGCUUUCUUUCUGAUAAAGAGAUUACGUUGUUUGUUUGUUCAUUUAUUGAACAUAUUUACACUUACACACACACACACACACACACACAAUGUUCCAGAUACCGUACUUGGCAAUGGUAGUUAGACCUUGCUCUUGCAAAAUUUAUAAUGAAGUUGGGAAGUGUGGUUUGAUCCCUCAAAGUGUCCAAAUCCUAAUCCCCAG